GAGUUUGAUCCUGGCUCAGAAUGAACGCUGGCGGCGUGCUUAACACAUGCAAGUCGUGCGCGAAGGCGGCUUCGGCUGCCGGAGAGCGGCGAACGGGUGAGUAACACGUGGGUAAUCUGCCUGGGAGCGGGGGAUAACCUGGGGAAACCCGGGCUAACACCGCAUACGAUGGGGGGAUGUUGGUCCCUUCAUGAAAACUGGCCUCUGCUUGCAAGCUAGUGCUCCCAGAGGAGCCCGCGGCUGAUUAGCUAGUUGGUGAGGUAACGGCUCACCAAGGCGACGAUCAGUAGCCGGCCUGAGAGGGUGAUCGGCCACACUGGGACUGAGACACGGCCCAGACUCCUACGGGAGGCAGCAGUGGGGAAUAUUGGACAAUGGGCGCAAGCCUGAUCCAGCAACGCCGCGUGGAGGAUGAAGGUCUUCGGAUCGUAAACUCCUGUCAGACGGGACGAAGGCUUGGGGGUGAACAAUCUCCAAGCUUGACGGUACUGUCAGAGGAAGCCCCGGCUAACUCCGUGCCAGCAGCCGC
rnacentral:rRNA from 1 species